CUCCUGUCCCGGAGCAAUGCCCGUUUCUUAGAGAAAGUGGAACAGGGGAGUCAGCGUUUUCUCCAGUUCAGACUCCUGCUUAUACCGUGGCAAAACUUCCACUUUUCCAUUCUUUGUGACUCUGUUGUCUGACAGUCAAAAGGUCCCAUCAUCCACGCUGUAAGGAUAAAGAAGUUCCUAAGGCUGAGCCUAAACACAGUGAUUUUUUGCAGGGAGGAUGUUACCUUAACCUAAUCGAAUAGCAUCUCAGUGGGGAAAAGUCAAGGAAGAGGAAAGGAUAUCAGUGUUGCAUGUACAAAGAGGAAAAGCCAUGUGAACACACAGCAAAAAGGUGGCUGUCUGCAAAUCAAGGAGAGAAGCCUCGGGAAAAACCAAACCUGCCAGAACCUUAAUUUUGGACUUCUAGCCUCCAGAACUUUCCAUCCUCAGGCUCAAGCAGGAAUUUAUUCUGGUUUAGUGAUAUUAUCCUGCCAUCAUCCAGCCGGCUCACAUCCUCUGCACCAUCUGUUUGUGAUAUAUCUUCACUACAGCUUUUGUUACAAGA